UACGGGGGGGGCAAGCGUUGUUCGGAAUUACUGGGCGUAAAGGGCUCGUAGGCGGCCAACUAAGUCGGAUGUGAAAUCCCCAGGCUCAACUUGGGAACUGCAUUUGUGACUGCAUGGCUAGAGUGCGGCAGAGGGGGAUGGAAUUCCGCGUGUAGCAGUGAAAUGCGUAGAUAUGCGGAGGAACACCGAUGGCGAAGGCAAUCCCCUGGGCCUGCACUGACGCUCAUGCACGAAAGCGUGGGGAGCAAACAGG
rnacentral:rRNA from 1 species